UACACACCGCCCGUCACACCAUGGGAGUGGGUUGCACCAGAAGUAGCUAGUCUAACCUUCGGGAGGACGGUUACCACGGUGUGAUUCAUGACUGGGGUGAAGUCGUAACAAGGUACCC
rnacentral:rRNA from 1 species